CCCUUAGAUGUUCUGGACCGCACGCGCGCUACACUGAUCAGUGCAACAAGCAUCCGUCCUUGGCCGACAGGCCCGGGCAAUCUUUGAACGCUGAUCGUGAUGGGGAUAGACUUUUGCAAUUUUUGGUCUUCAACGAGGAAUUCCUAGUAAACGCAAGUCAUCAACUUGCAUUGAUUACGUCCCUGCCCUUUGUACACACCGCCCGUCGCACCUACCGAUUGAAUGGUCCGGUGAAGCCUCCGGAUUGGCGUGCACCCUCGGGUGCUGCCGAGAAGUUGGCUAAACCUUACCAUUUAGAGGAAGGUGAAGUCGUAACA
rnacentral:rRNA from 1 species